GAGUUUGAUCCUGGCUCAGGAUGAACGCUAGCGGCAGGCUUAACACAUGCAAGUCGAGGGGUAACGGGGAAGCUUGCUUCCGCCGACGACCGGCGCACGGGUGCGUAACGCGUAUACAAUCUACCUUAUACUGGGGUAUAGCCUUUAGAAAUGAAGAUUAACCCCCCAUAGUCUCUUAGAGUGGCAUCACUUCUAGAGUAAAGGUUACGGUAUAAGAUGAGUAUGCGUUCUAUUAGUUUGUUGGUGUGGUAACGGCACACCAAGACUACGAUAGAUAGGGGCCCUGAGAGGGGGAUCCCCCACACUGGUACUGAGACACGGACCAGACUCCUACGGGAGGCAGCAGUGAGGAAUAUUGGACAAUGGAGGCAACUCUGAUCCAGCCAUGCCGCGUGCAGGAAGACUGCCCUAUGGGUUGUAAACUGCUUUUAUACAGGAAGAAACACCUCUACGUGUAGAGGCUUGACGGUACUGUAAUAAUAAGGAUCGGCUAACUCCGUGCCAGCAGCCGCGGUAAUACGGAGGAUCCAAGCGUUAUCCGGAAUCAUUGGGUUUAAAGGGUCCGUAGGUGGAUAAUUAAGUCAGAGGUGAAAUCUUGCAGCUCAACUGUAAAAUUGCCUUUGAAACUGGUUAUCUUGAGUUAUUAUGAAGUAGUUAGAAUAUGUAGUGUAGCGGUGAAAUGCAUAGAUAUUACAUAGAAUACCAAUUGCGAAGGCAGAUUACUAAUAAUCAACUGACACUGAUGGACGAAAGCGUGGGUAGCGAACAGGAUUAGAUACCCUGGUAGUCCACGCCGUAAACGAUGGUUACUAGCUGUUUGGACUUCGGUCUGAGUGGCUAAGCGAAAGUGAUAAGUAACCCACCUGGGGAGUACGUUCGCAAGAAUGAAACUCAAAGGAAUUGACGGGGGCCCGCACAAGCGGUGGAGCAUGUGGUUUAAUUCGGUGAUACGCGAGGAACCUUACCAGGGCUUAAAUGUAAGUUGCAUUAGUUAGAGAUAGCUAUUUCUUCGGACCACUUACAAGGUGCUGCAUGGUUGUCGUCAGCUCGUGCCGUGAGGUGUCAGGUUAAGUCCUAUAACGAGCGCAACCCCUGUUGUUAGUUGCCAGCGAGUCAUGUCGGGAACUCUAGCAAGACUGCCAGUGCAAACUGUGAGGAAGGUGGGGAUGACGUCAAAUCAUCACGGCCCUUACGUCCUGGGCUACACACGUGCUACAAUGGUAGGUACAGAGAGCAGCCACUGCGCGAGCAGGAGCGAAUCUAUAAAACCUAUCACAGUUCGGAUCGGAGUCUGCAACUCGACUCCGUGAAGCUGGAAUCGCUAGUAAUCGGAUAUCAGCCAUGAUCCGGUGAAUACGUUCCCGGGCCUUGUACACACCGCCCGUCAAGCCAUGGAAGUUGGAAGUGCCUGAAGUCCGUCACCGCAAGGAGCGGCCUAGGGUAAAGUCGAUAACUAGGGCUAAGUCGUAACAAGGUAACC
rnacentral:rRNA from 1 species